rfam:Drosophila persimilis strain MSH-3 cont1.004623, whole genome shotgun sequence.
CAAAUAAUGAAUUUGGCAAGAUGUCGGAAUAGCUGAGAGCAAAAAGAAGAUGAUUUGAAAUGCGGCUAUGCCUCAUCUAGUCAAUUGCAUUC